rnacentral:rRNA from 1 species
GCCCUUAUGGCUGUCGUCAGCUCGUGUCGUGAGAUGUUGGGUUAAGUCCCGCAACGAGCGCAACCCUCGCGUCCAAUUGCCAGCAGGUAAAGCUGGGGACUUUGGACGGACUGCCGCCGUAAGGUGUGAGGAAGGUGGGGACGACGUCAAGUCAUCAUGGCCUUUAUGUCCAGGGCUACACACGUGCUACAAUGGUGAGGACAGAGGGCAGCUACUCUGCGAGGAGAUGCGAAUCUCUCAAACCUCAUCCCAGUUCGGAUCGGAGUCUGCAACCCGACUCCGUGAAGGUGGAAUCGCUAGUAAUCGCGCAUCAGCCAUGGCGCGGUGAAUACUUCCCGGACCUUGUUACACACCGCCCGUCAAGCCCAUGGGAGCUUGGGGCGCCCUGAAGACGGUGACUUUUACGGGGAACCUGUUCUAAGGUUGAAACAGGUUGACUUGGGGCUAAUUCCGUAACAGGUUACCCGUACCCGAAGGUUGCCGGCUGGAAUACUCCUUUUA